rnacentral:tRNA from 1 species
GAGUCACUAGCUCAGGCGGCAGAGCACCUGCCUUUUAAGCAGGGUGUCCCGGGUUCGAUUCCCGGGUGACUCACCA